rnacentral:rRNA from 1 species
GGCGCACGGGUGCGUAACGCGUAUGCAAUCUACCUUUGCAGAGGGAUAGCCCAGAGAAAUUUGGAUUAAUACCUCAUAGUAUAGUACUUGGCAUCAAGGAACUAUUAAAGUCACAACGGCAAAAGAUGAGCAUGCGUCCCAUUAGCUAGUUGGUAAGGUAACGGCUUACCAAGGCUACGAUGGGUAGGGGUCCUGAGAGGGAGAUCCCCCACACUGGUACUGAGACACGGACCAGACUCCUACGGGAGGCAGCAGUGAGGAAUAUUGGACAAUGGGCGCAAGCCUGAUCCAGCCAUGCCGCGUGCAGGAUGACGGUCCUAUGGAUUGUAAACUGCUUUUAUACAGGAAGAAACACUCCGACGUGUCGGAGCUUGACGGUACUGUAAGAAUAAGGAUCGGCUAACUCCGUG